rnacentral:rRNA from 1 species
CCUACGGGGGGCAGCAGUGAGGAAUAUUGGUCAAUGGACGCAAGUCUGAACCAGCCAUGUCGCGUGCAGGAAGACGGCCCUAUGAGUUGUAAACUUCUUUUGUACGAGGGUAAAGGCAGACACGUGUAUCUUUUUGAAAGUACCUGACGAAAAAGCAUCGGCUAACUCCGUGCCAGCAGCCGCGGUAAUACGGAGGAUGCGAGCGUUAUCCGGAUUUAUUGGGUUUAAAGGGUGGGCAGGCGGUAUGAAAAGUCAGCGGGAAAAUUUGGGGGCUCAACCCCGGCGUGCCGUUGAUACUGGUCGGCUAGAGUGAAGGAGAAGUAGGCGGAAUGCGUGGUGUAGCGGUGAAAUGCUUAGAGAUCAUGCAGAACACCGAUUGCGAAGGCAGCAUACCGG